GAAUUCCAUCUAAAGCUAAAUAUUGGCGAGAGACCGAUAGCGAACAAGUACCGUGAGGGAAAGAUGAAAAGCACUUUGGAAAGAGAGUUAAACAGUACGUGAAAUUGUUGAAAGGGAAACGAUUGAAGUCAGUCAUGCUCUUUGGAUUAAGCCGUUCUGCGGUGUAUUUCAUUGAGCGGGGUCAACAUCAGUUUUGAUCGCUGGAAAAGGGCAGGAGGAAGGUAGCACUCUCGGGUGAACUUAUAGCCUCUUGUCGUAUACAGUGAUUGGGACUGAGGAACGCAGCAUGCCUUUUGGCCGGGAUUCGUCCACGUACAUGCUUAGGAUGUUGACAUAAUGGCUU
rnacentral:rRNA from 3 species